rnacentral:rRNA from 1 species
UGGGGAAUCUUGCGCAAUGGACGAAAGUCUGACGCAGCAACGCCGCGUGUAGGAUGAAGCCUCUAGGGGUGUAAACUACUGUCAGCAGGGAAGAAAUUGACUGUACCUGCAGAGGAAGCACCGGCUAACUCCGUGCCAGCAGCCGCGGUAAGACGGAGGGUGCAAGCGUUGUCCGGAAUUAUUGGGCGUAAAGAGUUCGUAGGCGGUUAUUUAAGUCUGAUGUUAAAGCCCGAAGCUUAACUUCGGCAUGGCAUUGGAAACUGGAUGACUAGAGUGCGGUAGAGGUAUCGGGAAUUCCAGGUGUAGCGGUGAAAUGCGUAGAGAUCUGAAGGAACACCAGUGGCGAAGGCGGCUCCCUGGACUCAAACUGACGCUGAGGUACGAAAGCGUGGGUAGCAAACAGGAUUAGAUACCCCAGUAGUCCCUGAGCGGGCUGGCAAGGCGCAU